ensembl:miRNA xtr-mir-98 xtr-mir-98
UCUGCCCUCUUCAGGAUGAGGUAGUAAGUUGUAUUGUUGUGGGGGUUUUUAUUUCCCCAAAUUAGGAGAUAACUAUACAGCUUACUGCCUUCCCUGCAGCAUGGUAAU